rnacentral:rRNA from 1 species
UGGGGAAUAUUGGACAAUGGGCGAAAGCCUGAUCCAGCCAUGCCGCGUGUGUGAAGAAGGUCUUCGGAUUGUAAAGCACUUUAAGUUGGGAGGAAGGGCAGUAAGCGAAUACCUUGCUGUUUUGACGUUACCGACAGAAUAAGCACCGGCUAACUCUGUGCCAGCAGCCGCGGUAAUACAGAGGGUGCAAGCGUUAAUCGGAAUUACUGGGCGUAAAGCGCGCGUAGGUGGUUCGUUAAGUUGAAUGUGAAAGCCCCGGGCUCAACCUGGGAACUGCGUCCAAAACUGGCGAGCUAGAGUAGGGCAGAGGGUGGUGGAAUUUCCUGUGUAGCGGUGAAAUGCGUAGAUAUAGGAAGGAACACCAGUGGCGAAGGCGACCACCUGGGCUCAUACUGACACUGAGGUGCGAAAGCGUGGGGAGCAAACGGG